rnacentral:rRNA from 1 species
UACCAGCACCCCGAGUGGUCGGGACGAUUAUUGGGCCUAAAGCAUCCGUAGCCGGUUCUGCAAGUCUUCCGUUAAAUCCAGCCGCUCAACGGAUGGGCCGCGGAGGAUACUAUAGGACUAGGAGGCGGGAGAGGCAAGCGGUACUCAGUGGGUAGGGUAAAUCCUUUGAUCCAUUGAAGACCACCAGUGGCGAAGGCGGCUUGCCAGAACGCGCUCGACGGUGAGGGAUGAAAGCUGGGGAGCAAACCGG